rnacentral:rRNA from 1 species
GGGUUAAGUCCCAUAACGAGCGCAACCCUUACUGUUAGUUGCCAGCGGGUCAAGCCGGGAACUCUAACGGGACUGCCACCGUAAGGUGAGAGGAAGUGGGGAUGACGUCAAAUCAGCACGGCCCUUAUGUCCAGGGCUACACACGUGUUACAAUGGUCGGUACAAAGGGCAGCUACACCGCGAGGUGAUGCUAAUCUCUAAAGCCGGUCUCAGUUCGGAUCGAAGUCUGCAACCCGACUUCGUGAAGUUGGAUUCGCUAGUAAUCGCGCAUCAGCCAUGGCCGCGGUCGAAUACGUUCCCGGGCCUU